rnacentral:rRNA from 1 species
UGGGGAAUAUUNNCUUCAAUGGGGGGAACCCUGACGCAGCCAUGCCGCGUGAAUGAAGAAGGCCUUAGGGUUGUAAAGUUCUUUCGGUAUUGAGGAAGGUUGAUGUGUUAAUAGCACAUCAAAUUGACGUUAAAUACAGAAGAAGCACCGGCUAACUCCGUGCCAGCAGCCGCGGUAAUACGGAGGGUGCGAGCGUUAAUCGGAAUAACUGGGCGUAAAGGGCACGCAGGCGGUUAUUUAAGUGAGGUGUGAAAGCCCCGGGCUUAACCUGGGAAUUGCAUUUCAGACUGGGUAACUAGAGUACUUUAGGGAGGGGUAGAAUUCCACGUGUAGCGGUGAAAUGCGUAGAGAUGUGGAGGAAUACCGAAGGCGAAGGCAGCCCCUUGGGAAUGUACUGACGCUCAUGUGCGAAAGCGUGGGGAGCAAACAGGAUUAGAUACCCUGGUAGUCCACGCUGUAAANACCCCGGCCAUUUGGGGGGUGGGGGUUUAAAUUCGGGCCCCCCUACUAAAGGGAAAAAUCAACCCCCCGGGGGAAAAGGCCCCGGGUA